GCUGUAAUUUUGAGUAGGAUACAUUGUAUUUUUCAUAAUUACCAGAGGUUGAAUCCAUGCUUUCAGUUCAAAACUCAAUUCAACCUUAAUUCUGAAGGAGAUCAGAGAGCCAGCAAACAUCUCUCUCUGCUGCUCUCAGCCUUCAACGCUCUCUGGCCUGAAGAAGUUUGUGGGUGAUCCACCACCUGCCUUCUGCUGUCACCAGGCUGAUCUGGCUCCUGUGGUUAACUAGAGAACUCUAACUGCUCCCCUCCUUGAAGCUCUCAGCCCAGCUCUGCUCUUUCUCUGAGCUCUCUACUUCUUCAGGCCCCUCGACUCUGAACUCUGGGUUCUGCACUCCCUUUUGGCGGCUCCUCAUUUAUAACUCCCUCAGGACCCCCCAGAUGCCUCAUUACACCAAAUUAGGGCACACCAGGACUGGAACAGGCGCACUGGGUCCAUUUAAGGAGCCAACUACCCUGUUGCACUUGUUUUUAAAGGAUUUCACUGCUACAGGCUAAAGUGCCUAUCUGUGCUUUAAAGGCUCCCCAUGCCACUGCUGCUUUGGCUCAAUUGUGCAUUGAGGCAGUACUGCUGGGGGACCUCUUGCAGGAGCAUUGAGAAAGCCCUUAAAGCACAGAGACAUUGGGACUCAAGCACUGGGCUCUUCUUCCAGCAUCACAUAGCACCAGUCUCACUAACAGCCCUCUAAACCAAUAAGUCAACUGCACAUUUACUGGCAGAUUUACCAGCAGUUUAGAUGUUGUGUGUCGUUUAGUGAUGCAAAGCCUCUGUAAACUCACCUUAAUUGGACAACCUGUUCCACUGCUUUGGUGAACCUGCCCUCAAAAGCUGAAACAAUUAAUUUUAUUUUAGGUGGAUUCCAGGUAUUUUCACAUCAUUUGAAAUAUCUCGUGGUGGCAUUCUGUCCAGGGGUCUUGUUCAGUGUUCUUAGAUUUAUAGUAUUUGUCGGAAGCCUCCAUACCAACAUGGUCACAAAAAGAAUGCUUAACCCUAAACAAAAAAGGAGAUAGGAGGUGAAGAAGUAAAUCAGUACGGCUAAAUGGAAAGGUUGAAGAGGUUUUUUCUGUUUUGAGACAGAGGUGUCUUUCAGAUCAAAAAUCCAGCCCUACGGAAGCCAAUACAAAGGAAUAUAAACUAUGACAAGAAAUAUGUAAGAAGGAAAGUAGGAAGGCUAAGGGGGAUUUUGAAGAACAAGCAGCAAUACAAAUAAUAAGAAAUUCUGCAAGUAUGGCAGAAGCAUGGACGCCUGCAAAAGAAUCAGGCAAGAUUGCUAGACUACCAAGUUAAGGACCAUGCUGAGAGUCUAAAUGAUGUCUUUGCAUUGUCCACCACAGUAGAUGCUAGGAAGAUCCACACUUUUUUUCAGGUAAUAAGGUUGAAGUACUGUCAGGGAUCGAGUUGUCAAAAGAAGAGGUGCUGAAACAAACUGACAACUAAAAAGAGCAACAAGACACCAGAGCAAGGUGGCCUACAUCCAUGAGCUCUAAGGGAGCUUAACAAUGAAGUGGUUGAGAUGCUAACAAAAAUAAACAACCGCACUAAAAUCAGCUAAUUUACAAGAGGGAUGGAGGGUAGCAGAGAUUGUGCCUAUUUUUUUAAAGAAGACGGCAGGUGUGAUCUUAGAAUCACAGACCAAUAAGUCAGGCUUCAGUACCAAGUAAUUUGGUUGGCAAUAUAUCUCCAUAUUCAACUAACUUGGUGUACCUGCUACUGCAAAUAUACAGCCCUUCUCAAUCUCUGAAUCUUCAGAAACACUUCUGUUCCACUUCCAUAACAAACUGAAAUGAGAUCCAAAUGAUUCCUUCCUUUGAAAGACAAGCUCCAGGCAUGAUGUUUUCAGCACAUCAUACGAUACCUGGUACCUACUAUGUAACAACAUUGGCCUUUAGCAUCAUUUAAAAAUGGACAGUGAUGCUUUUACUCUGAUAAUAUUCUUAGUGGAAUAAAGAAAGCCACUAUCAGUAAACUACUGUCAUUUGACUUUCUUAGCCAUCUUGGGAAGUUACUGUGGAUGUUUUGUGCUGUGUUCUCCUGCAAAGGUCAAAAAGGUAAAAGCUAGAUUUCCAUAACAGCAGGGCUGGAUGAUGUUCUCUCCUCAUUGUCAUAUCUCCAGCAAAUUGUUCUGUGUUUUCUGAAGUAACUCUAAAAUGGAUGGUAUUUUCUGAAGCACAAGCAAAAUGCUAAAACGGAUAGGAUCGAAUGGAAUUUGAUGUUGGAACCACAGAUCACUCUUGUGCAACAACACAUAGGCCAGAGUGUGUCUUUGUCAUCUCAACCCAUACUACCUCUGUUGCAGAUGAACCAUGUAACAAGGUUUGUGAGGCUAUACCCUGCCGCUCAAUAGUAGAAGCCCAUGUGCUCUAACUCGGACGUCAGGGGUUCAAUCUCUACUUAUGGAACCCAUCUAGAGGUACUGUUAGAAGUGAUGAUUCAAACUGCCAUGAACCUCUGAUGUUUAGGACAAGCUUCCCUGGCUAAAGGGUAUAUGUAACUCAAUGGCCAAGUGUGUCUUUGCCCUACCUCACUCCCCUCUUUCCCCCACAAUAGCUGGACCACAUAAAGAAGUUUAUAAAUCUGAAUCUGCCUUCAAGUUAACAUAGCUAGUCUUUUAGCUCAAGCUUUGUAGACUCAUGCUUUUGGAUCUGGAGGCCCCAGAGACAGUCCCUACAGCCCACCAGUCUAGGGGGGUUAUUACACCUGUUUUUGUAUACAAUAGUUAUGAAUCUAGUUGUAUUGGAGCAGCCUAACAAUGCACAUGGCCAAAGCUCCAGUAACCACAGCCAACAGAAAGAUGAAGUAAUCACUCCAUAACACACUCCCUAGCUUGUUUUAUUGGGUUUAUGAAAUGGUAUGUCUACUUCAAAAUCAAGAAAAUAGCUGGAACUGUAGAUCAUAAACGCAGGAAUGACAUCACUGGUAACCUCGCGCUCCUCUCUGCACGUGAAUCAGAGGGAAACUAGACUCCUCUGUUUUCUGUCUUAUCUGCCUCUUCAAAAGAGAUACAUCAUCUUUUAUGCCCUGGCUGAAGGCACACAACUUUAUAAAAACCAGAACUCAAGGAAAUGCAUGUUUUUAGGCUGACAGGGUUUUUAUAUGAUUUCUUUUUCAAUUAAAUAUUUUUAUUGUACAAAGGAAAACAAAGAGCACUAUAGAGUUCACAAUGAAGUAAGAAAAAAGAUAACCAAGUUCAUCAGACUUUACACCAAUCUUUGACAUUUGUACAUUCCUUUCGUAUUGUAAGAGCACUUGGAGAAAAAGCACCAGAGAAACAUCAAACAAGCCAUAGGAAACAAGAGAAAGAUGACAUUGUAGACAAAGCAGGUCAGACAUAAGAAAUACCAUGAAGAGUAAAAAAGUUGUCCACAUGCAAUGAUGACAUUACUCUAGAACUGUUUUCAGCACUGCUACACUAGAUCCACCAAUAAAGUGUCCUAUAUAUAUUGCCACUCUGCAGUUAGGUCAAUUAAUCAACUCUAAAAAUAAAGACAUCAGGACAGCUCCUCAGCUGGUGUAAAUCAGCAUAGCUCAAUUGACACUAAUUACUGAGGAUCUGGCCCCAACUGGCAUCAAAUUUGAAGAGCUCUUCCCUUUUCUUGCUUGUACUCUUCCCAGAGCUACCAUGUCACUAAACCCCAGUUCUAUAAGCUGGGAGAUGUAGGUCAUUUCUGGUGUUGUACGAUUUGAUGUUUCACUGCCAACAAGGCCCAUCAGAACCAAUGUUCCCAUGAAUCAUAAAGAGUAAGCUUUUGGUUGGUGGGUACCAAUAUAAACAAUUUGGCAGGAUCAAAAGAAGUCCCUGAUACUAAGUGCACCUUUUAUUUUUAUUUUUUUAACAGCUUCAGUAGAUAUGACAGAGAGUUAAGGAAUCCUCCAGAUUUCCAACACCUGUAUGUUUCUUUAAUGCCUACCUGGACUGUAAAGGUCCAAGUCAUGUGAAAAAUAAUCUGCUGGUGAAUUAGUUAAAGAGGAGAGCUCAAUUCAUGCUUUUUCUGUAUCACGCUCAAUUUUGUUCCACUGUUCCUGGGAUCCUUGAACCCUGACUCAAUUUAUGUUGAAGGGUUCUCCAUACUUUUUCCAGUGGAAGGUCAAUAGGUAUAUAUUCAUGCGGUGGGUCUGGUAUGCUGUCCAUUUUUUUAAAAAAAUUUUAAUAAAAUAAGUUAGUUGAUUCCAGAGCUACUACUGCACUGAGGCCAAACGGAUUGGCUCAUAAAUGUGUGGCAUUGCCAAUUUUUGUGGUUAAUUUGUAGGUGCUGCCAAAACUGCAGCCAAAUUAUUGCGGCAAUGACUUAAAAGUAUCCCUCUGUGGAUUGGAUGCGACAAGGCUAACAUCACCCUUUUCUAUCAAUUGCUUCUGCACCAUUGGUUUUCCUGCAUUUAAUAAGGCUGGAUUACCCCACAGUACUGAAUGGUUAUAUAGCAAUGGCUUAACCUUUUUCUUUUGUUUCUACAUUAGAAUAAGCUUGAGCAGGAAGACAUGGGUAGGUGGUAUAGGAGUUCAUGUUCUAAAGCGAGUGAAUUAUGUGCUCUAUCUAGGUAUCUUGAAAAGGCUUCUCUCAAGAGGAAGGCACUGUAAUACAUUCUAAUAAUGGGGAACUAGAAUCCCUCCUUUCUGGCAAAAAGGUGCAAUGUUUGUUUUUUUUCUAUUGCUACUCAAACCUUUCCCAUCCCCUGCUCCCUUUUUUAAAAAAAAAAAAUGGGGCCAAAUUCUCAGCUAGUGUAAAUCAACAAAUUUCCAUUGAUGACAAAGGAGUUACACCAAUUUACGCAGCUGAGAAUCUCGCCCAUAGGUUUUGUCUUGUUUUUCUAAAUGAACAGGAAAUGCUGGUCACCAGCAUAUUAAAUUUAAAGAGUUUGUGGCACUAACCAAGCUACUAAUGGUUCCAGUGGCACCCAGCCUCAUUCUGUGCACAACAGACAAGAUACACACAUUCACAAUAUGGCUUAGUAACUUAAGCAUCUGCAGCACAGCAUCCCUUCCCUCCUAAUGUCAAUUACUGGGGUCACUACAAGAGUAACAGGAUGGAAUUCUAUGGCCUGUGUUAUACUAGUGGUCAGGCAAGAUGAUCUUAUGGCUCCUUUUAAACUUAAAAAAUCUGUGAACUUACAAAUGUUAGCAAAAAGGGCUAAAGCAUCAUGGCAAAUUAAGUUAUCAGAUGCAGGACCAGAGCCCAGUUCUAUUAACUCUGUAGCCAGUCUGUAACCCAUUAUGAUCAAAUUAUUGAGCCUCAUUGUUCCUUAGUUACCGCCACUUACCUAACGCAUUCUCAUGUGCUGCCCUCAACGCACUUUAUAGAGGUGGCUACACGUUAUUAUCCCCUUAUUACACAUGGCCUAACUAAAUAGAGGGUUUUGAACCAACAGGUACAAAAGGUGCUGUGGCCUAAUGACUAGGACAUGGGUCUCCCACCUCCUCAGAGAUUAAAGUUUUGUGCCUAGCUGCGCUCCAGGCCUUCUGAAGUAACUAUUAGUACGUCCAGCUGCUUCACUGAACUGGGUCUGGUUUUCAAAACAUGCCAAUUUCUAUACUAUUUUUACAGUUCUGGCCCGUGAAAACUGCCUCUUGCGUGAGCCAGUGUUCAAAUGUGCCUAAUGUUGCAAACUGUGUGGUGUAAUAUGAUUUUGUUGGCAGCUAGAGGGAUGUAAAAUGUUAGACAAUUGCAAAAGUUUCAAAAAGGAACAACUGAAUAAAUCUUUUAAUCUCUAGUAGUACGUACUUCAUUACAUCAGCAUUUUUCAGGGAAUGGUCUAACUGUUAAUGAGAGUCAGCUCCAAGAAUUUUGAAAGUGUAAGAAUUUACAAAUCAAUCAAAAUCAUGAGGCUCAUGGUUGCAACUUUACAGCAAGGCUAUCGUUUUUCCAUAAUAAAACAACACCUACUGGAAUCAGGACUACAGCCAUGGCUCUUGCUGCUCCACAACACAUGUCCCUCCCUACUACUUGAGAAAGCUUAAAAGGGAGAUCGCUUUCUAGCAAGAUCGCUGACAGCUACCAGCUAGAGAAAUCUCUUCACACAUACACGUACUGCCCUGUCCUGCUGCCAUUGAAGUUAUCAGCAAAUAAAAGAAAAAGCCUCUCAUUGACAUCAAUGAGAAUAGGAACAGGCCCAGAACUACUAUAUAUUGUAGUUCACUGGAAGCUGGAUUGGACCCUAACAUGACCCACAACAAAAACUGUUAAUAAUUUGCUUAGCUACAUCAUAUUUUCUUCAAUCAUGGCCAGCACACAAGUAAUAAAGGAGAUUUAACUAUGUGGAAAGUUUGAAGGGAGAAUAAUCAUUUGUUUUUCAAGCUAGAGGAACACAAAGAAACAUGAUGCAAAUGUCAAAUUUUCAAAUCACAGUCAAAACACAUUGACACAUUUUCUUCAGACUUUGCAGAACCAUGGUCACUUUCCUUCAGUGUAUAUCUAGCAAAUGCCCAACCAAACCAAAUUUUUCCAAGCCCAGGUUAGCGGGAACUUCAAUAUGGAAGAAAGUUGCAAUGUGAGCUAUGGAAAAGUUACUGCUUCUCCGUAACAUGCUCAGUGCGUCAGACAACGCGGCUAUAAAAGAUGAGAGGCAGGGGUUAUCAUGCCUUAAACACAACCAUCGCCCGCUCUCCUGAAGCCAUACCAACUUUGUGCCAGGAGCCUGUUACCCUUACAAGCUAAGCAACAGAUCAAAUCUGGUUGAUUGGGUUUUUUGGAGAAGGCUGAGGGAAUGUUUCCUAUAGCGACAAAGUUGAGGAAAAAAGUUGCUGUAAAGAGCUGUCUUGCUCUCCUCCUGUCAAACUCAUCACUGUAAUGCUACUGAGAUUUCCUUAUAUUAUUAAGGGUGUGCCAGGGCAAGUAGAUUAUUGGAUAGGCAUCUUUUUUAGUUAUUAUCUAAAUCAAAAUAAAUAAGAAAACAAACAAACACCAUCAGUACCUGAAUGAGUGGCCACUAGAGAACUGGUGUUGGUGAUUCAGUAGUGGAUGCUAUUUCCUAAGAGCUUGUCUACACCAG